rnacentral:rRNA from 1 species
UUGAACGCUGGCGGCAUGCCUUACACAUGCCAGUCGAACGGUAACGGGCCUUCGGGUGCCGACGCGUGGCGAACGGGUGAGUAAUACAUCGGAACGUGCCCGAUCGUGGGGGAUAACGAGGCGAAAGCUUUGCUAAUACCGCAUACGAUCUACGGAUGAAAGCAGGGGACCGCAAGGCCUUGCGCGGACGGAGCGGCCGAUGGCAGAUUAGGUAGUUGGUGGGAUAAAAGCUUACCAAGCCGACGAUCUGUAGCUGGUCUGAGAGGAUGAUCAGCCACACUGGGACUGAGACACGGCCCAGACUCCUACGGGAGGCAGCAGUGGGGAAUUUUGGACAAUGGGCGCAAGCCUGAUCCAGCCAUGCCGCGUGCAGGAUGAAGGCCUUCGGGUUGUAAACUGCUUUUGUACGGAACGAAAAGCCUUCUUUUAAUACAGGAGGGUCAUGACGGUACCGUAAGAAUAAGCACCGGCUAACUACGUG